CUGGGGUUUCCACAUUAGAAUGGUAUAUAGGUCGCACAGUUGGAUGUGAAAAUAAAACACAAACAACUGCUCAGAAGUCAACGUUAUAUAGAAACAAAGAUCGGAAAACAGCACCAACGAAGCAAUAUCGUUGUACGAGAGAAAAUUUUCAAAACAGAAAAAAUCAUCACCACCAUUAUGGCAUAUAUCCGAUUUGUCCUGGUCUUCGUCGCCAUGGUAACCAUGUUGGUGUGCGUGGAGGGCCGUCUGUGUAAGCUGGACGCCGAUGCCGCGACUUGCACGGAUGUUGUGCCACGUUGGGGCCCGUUAAAGGGCGUAUCCCUGUGCUCGAGCGCUGGAAAAACAUGUCAACUGAAAAUUCGACGGAGGUCAAUUGAAUGCAGGUGUGAAGCCGCCCGAAUUCAGCUACAUUAACGUUCAGCUUAUGUUACUGGACAUUUUGAGUUGAUCAACAAUUUAAAGGUCAAUUAAUGGCAUUCAGGUUAGAUCAGAAAUAUUUCUAAUUAAGUUUAAUUAAUUAUGAUCGAGCCUUGCGUUCUUUGAUGCUACCUGCUGCAAUUAUACAAUAUAUACAUGGAUAAGAUAAAUCAACCAGUUUGAAACUCGACUUUCAAUAAAUAUGUAUACAUUAAAUUUAGUAAAGGUUCCCUUUUCCCAAUUGAGAUAACGAAUUGCUGAUUUCACUCAAUUAUAGUUUUGAGCAGGUACGAUUCUAGCAGAUAUAUUAGUAUAUCAUUGUUCAUUACAGUCAUUUAUUAUUGUUUGCAUGAUAUUUGUUGUUCGUAUUUUUUUUUACAUCUAUAUUGUAGAUUUAAUGAUGGAUAAUAUUUUGUCUCAACUAUUCAUAUACGUGUAUAUUUUAUUUUACUAUGUUGAUUUUUAUUGCAUUGUGCUUUUUUCACUGAUAUUGUGUUUUAUUGUUUUAAUUGUAGAUAAUCAACUUUUACUUCUUGUUUUGAACAUUAUGUAUCCGUAUACUGUAAUACUAAUGAAGUGUUAUCAAUUUAAAUUUGAAAUGCUUACAUAUCAUUAUAAUUGAUCUCAGGUAUUUACAUAGACAACGUAUUGGUUACUGAAAUAAAAAAUAUAAUAUU